UCAGUGCUCUCUGCACAUAGCCUCCAUCUUUCAGUAGGUGGUGUGAGUGAGUGUAGGGUAGAAGGGGGGGUGGGUUUUCAGGGCCCUCAUUGGCUGAAAUAUUUUCACUGGCAACUAGAAAACGUGAUCCAGCCUGCAGAGGCACUGCAGCGGAGACUGCAGAGAGAGAGAGAGAGAGAGGCAGGGAGGGAGAGAGAGCAAGAUAAGAGAGAGAGCAAGGAGAGAGAGAGCAAGAGAGGGGGAGGAGAAAACAUGCAAUAGAAAUUGUCAGGUCCAGAGACAGAGAUCGAGAGAGAGAGAGAGAGAGAAAGAGAGGGAGAGAGAGAGAGCCACAUACAUGUGGUAAGGGAGACAGAAACAGAGAACAAGCGUGUGUGUGUAUGCGUGAGCCAGUGUGUGAGUGUGUGCACAGAGGCGCAUUGACAGCAGCAGAGAAGGAGCAAGGCUAACAAACGGCAGGCGUGAGCGAAAAGGAGCACAGAGACGCCACUGGGGGAGAGAUAACGAGUGAGUGGAAGAAAAGAAGAGAGGAUGAAAGAAAGACAGCAGUGAGUACCUGAAGACCUGAGGCUCUGAGAGCAGAGAGAGAGAGAGAGAGAGAGAGAGAGAGAGAGAGAGAGAGAGAGAGAGAGAGAGAGAGAGAGAGAGAGAGAGGAGCGGAAGAUACCCAGAGAGGCAUCACAGGAGCACACGUAAUUACACAACCUAUUUGGCUGGCUGACUGACAGGCAGAGAGAAAGAGACAGGAGGAGGGAUGGAGAGGGAGCUGCUAGAAACCGCCGCUCGGCCACACCGCAGACGACAGGGCGAGAGGGAGAGAGUUUGAAGGACGAAGGGAACCGACAGAGGAGAAGAAGAGGUGGGCUCCACCACCAGUCUCUGUCCUCCAUCACUGUGACUAAAGGAAGGAGUGACGCAUCCAUCCUUCGACAGCUCAGCCUCCAUCUUACCUUCCCUUCCUCCCUCCACCUCCAUCGUUUGUUUUCUCAGGGUCUCACAGACAGGAAUGAUCACCUUGCCUCCGUCGCUCCUCUCCUCCUCCUCCUUUUCCUCCUCCUCUUCCUCCUCCUCCUCCUCCUCUGCCCCUCUGGCAAAACACCUUCUGUUCUACUCUCAGACGAACUGAGACCAAUGGACCAUGUUAUCAGCUUCACACGCACAUGGAAGCUUUACCCUGUAACAAGACUAUUGUCACCUCACAGCUCAGUAAUAUCCAAAACCAACAACAACAACAACAACAACACACAGCAAGGUGGUAAGAGAACUGGGAGACGAUAUGUUACGACAGGACUAAACAACAACACAGGUAACUCAGCCAAAGAGGACUGUGAGGACGACAGUCACACCAUCUGACUGUCUAAGGCCACUGCUGUCACUCUGAACCGCUGAGGGACAGACAGACAGACCGUGACGAGGACACGGUCUCCCUAGAGACCUUUAACAGCUACACUAGUGGACUCAGUUUGAAAGUCAAGCACCCCUUCCUUAGAGGAAUUCAGGAGUGGUUUGUUAAGGAGCAGGGGAUUUCCAUUGCCUCCUAAAAAAAGACCUCUGCCUUAUCAGACUCCAGCCAAGGAAGCCAAAGGACACAAAACCAUAUUCGACCAAGAGGAGAGAGAGAGAGAGAGAGAGAGAGAGAGAGAGAGAGAGAGAGAGAGAGAGAGAGAGAGAGAGAGAGAGAGAGAGAGAGAGAAGGUUCCAGCCUGAGUGUCUACAGGUUGUUCUCACACACAAGGCCAUUCCACAGCCUCAGAAACAGGAAGGAAGUUCUGGUUUGAGCAGCAACAACCUAGAAACAAGCAAGCCCCAAGCCCUGUUUGAGUCAGUUUCCCCUGACAAGCCACAGGACGCUGUGUGAGACAAUACAGACUGAAUUACUACUGAACAGCCUGUGCUGCUUGAGCUCUCCAUUUUGAGAGAGUAGAACUCUUCACAACCCUGUUGUGUAAGUGUAUAAUAUUAGUAUCUAUAUAUGUACAUAUAAGAUUAUUUAUUGGUGUUAUCACUGAAAACAUAUCUUUGUGCUGAUGUGUUGAGUCCUGUCUGUUGUCCAGCUGUUACUGUGGUUGAAUAUCCAGUACAUAUCUUUAUUGUAUAUCUAAGACUGCACAGACUAGUUUUAAGAGGACUAACUUCCAGGCUCGGACUGUUAUCGCUGUCUAUCAGUAGUGUUAUCAGAGGACAGUGUUUCUGUGUAAUAGGAAAGUCUAUUUCACUGCUCCAGGUUUAAGGCCUCUGGCUACAGUCCUCUGUCCUUCUGUCCCACAUAAAGACUCAGGGUAACAGCACCACAGACGUGGGAGGCCUUCUAAUUGAAACAAUGGACAGAAUCAUACGUCCCCAUGUCCCCUCUAAUGGCUGACUUUGACACCCCCAGUUCACUUCAGAGCCCCGCCCCACGCCCAACCCAAGCCAGGGGCAUCGCCCGCUGAACCACCCACAGCCCCCUCUCUCUAACAAAGACA
rnacentral:lncRNA from 8 species